GCAUUAAUGGGGUAGUGGUAACCUGGGUCGUUGCCAUGAUGGGCUAACGAUUCUGCCAUAAGCUCGACCCGCCGGGGGUUCAAUUCCCCCUCAAUGCA